GAGAUUCAGCGGCUCAGAUAUUAAAAUCGGAAUGAUAGAGAAGAUUAGCAUGGCCCCAUGCAAGAAUGACACACAAACUCAUGAAAUGUUCCGUAUAUUU
ensembl:snRNA U6 U6 spliceosomal RNA